CGCACCCUACAAAUCCAGUCAGAGAUCAUUACUGGCAAUGAGGGGGACAGGGAUGGAGAUGAAGCUGUGGCUCUGAUCUCCCCCUCCUCCCAUCCCUGACUUCCAUGUCCCUCUUCUCCCCACUCCAUGCCAACCCAGACAGUUUUUCACAGGUACUUGCCAGUCUGCCUUUCUGCCCAAAGGAACCAGCCUAUGGGAUUUGCUGUAGAAAAUUCCAGAAAAGGCAGGCUAUUGCCUUUCCUGUGUCAAAACUUUCUUUUCAAAGGGACAGGACCACCACCUGCCUUUGUAUGGCACUUUUAAAUUUACAAGGUGCUUUCUACAUAGCAUACUUUAUCUGAGACCAAACACCUUGGACACGGAUGAGGCAGAGAUUAUCAGCUUGGAGUGAUAAGGUUUGUGGAGACAUAACAGAGGCAGGAACAGACUCGAGGUCGUUUGGUUCUUCCAACCCCCCCCAGGGUACCUAAACGUCCACAGGAAGAAAAAAAUCCCAAGUGUCCCUACCAUUCCUGUGGUCUUUGCUUUAGGAUUCUUCAUGAUCUGAGUGACAGACUCCCGGAUGUCCUUUAGGAACUGUAUGGCUACUCGCUUCCGAGUGUGUACCAGCGUGAUGCAGAAAUGAAUACUACGGGAGAAGACAGACACAGACAGAGAUGAACCGCGGGGGAAAAAAGUUCUAAAAUAAAGCAGCCCCCCACACAGGAA